rnacentral:misc_RNA from 1 species
GAUGAAGAAGCAGCGAAAUGCGAUAAGUAAUGUGAAUUGCAGAAUUCAGUGAAUCAUCGAAUCUUUGAACGCACAUUGCGCCCGCCAGUAUUCUGGCGGGCAUGCCUGUUCGAGCGUCAUUUCAACCAUCAAGCCCCCGGGCUUGUGUUGGGGACCUGCGGCUGCCGCAGGCCCUGAAAAGCAGUGGCGGGCUCGCUGUCACACCGAGCGUAGUAGAUUUUAUCUCGCUCUGGGCGUGCUGCGGGUUCCGGCCGUUAAACCACCCUUUUAACCCAAGGUUGACCUCGGAUCAGGUAGGAAGACCCGCUGAACUUAAGCAUAUCAAUAAGCGGAGGA